GAUGAACGCUGGCGGCGUGCCUAAUACAUGCAAGUCGAGCGAACAGACGAGGAGCUUGCUCCUCUGACGUUAGCGGCGGACGGGUGAGUAACACGUGGAUAACCUACCUAUAAGACUGGGAUAACUUCGGGAAACCGGAGCUAAUACCGGAUAAUAUAUUGAACCGCAUGGUUCAAUAGUGAAAGACGGUUUUGCUGUCACUUAUAGAUGGAUCCGCGCCGCAUUUGCUAGUUGGUAAGGUAACGGCUUACCAAGGCAACGAUGCGUAGCCGACCUGAGAGGGUGAUCGGCCACACGGGAACUGAGACACGGUCCAGACUCCUACGGGAGGCAGCAGUAGGGAAUCUUCCGCAAUGGGCGAAAGCCUGACGGAGCAACGCCGCGUGAGUGAUGAAGGUCUUCGGAUCGUAAAACUCUGUUAUUAGGGAAGAACAAAUGUGUAAGUAACUAUGCACGUCUUGACGGUACCUAAUCAGAAAGCCACGGCUAACUACGUG
rnacentral:rRNA from 1 species